rnacentral:rRNA from 1 species
GACGAACGCUGGCGGCGUGCCUAAUACAUGCAAGUAGAACGCUGAAGAGAGGAGCUUGCUCUUCUUGGCUGAGUUGCGAACGGGUGAGUAACGCGUAGGUAACCUGCCUUGUAGCGGGGGAUAACUAUUGGAAACGAUAGCUAAUACCGCAUAACAAUGGAUGACACAUGUCAUUUAUUUGAAAGGGGCAAUUGUUCCACUACAAGAUGGACCUGCGUUGUAUUAGCUAGUAGGUGAGGUAAUGGCUCACCUAGGCGACGACACAUAGCCGACCUGAGAGGGUGAUCGGCCACACUGGGACUGAGACACGGCCCAGACUCCUACGGGAGGCAGCAGUAGGGAAUCUUCGGCAAUGGGGGCAACCCUGACCGAGCAACGCCGCGUGAGUGAAGAAGGUUUUCGGAUCGUAAAGCUCUGUUGUAAGUCAAGAACGGGUGUGAGAGUGGAAAGUUCACACUGUGACGGUAGCUUACCAGAAAGGGACGGCUAACUACGUG